rnacentral:rRNA from 1 species
ACGAGCGCAGGAUCCCCUUGUUUUUUUGGGAAAACGCCGCGAAGAUCCUUACCAGGUCGGGACAUCCUCAGGACAUUCCCAGAGAUAUUUUGUCCCCUUGGGGGGAAGAGUCACAGGUGGUGCAUGGUUGUUGUCAGCUCGUAUCGAGAGAUGUUGGUUUAAUUCCCGCACUCGAGCGCACCCCGUGAUGUUAUUCGCCAGCAUUCAGUUGGGCACUAUAAGGUGACGGCCGGUGACAAACGGGGGGAAGGGGGGGAUGACGUCAAAUCAUCAUGCCCUUUAUGACUUGGGGUACACACGUGAUACAAGGGACGAGAACAAAGGGCAGCGAAACCGCGAGGUUAAGCCAAUCCCACAAAUCUGUUCUCAGUUCGGAUCCCCGUUUGCAAUUGGACUGCGUGAAGCGGGAAUCGUUCGUAAUCGGGGAUCAGCAUGCCGCGGUGAAUACGAUCCCGGGCCUGGUACACACCGCCCGUCACACCUUUUAGAGUUUGUAACGGGAAUAAGUCGUUUUCUUUCCA